UACGUAGGGUGCAGGCGUUAAUCGGAAUUACUGGGCGUAAAGCGUGCGCAGGCGGUUUUGUAAGCCAGAUGUGAAAUCCCCGGGCUUAACCUGGGAAUGGCAUUUGGGACUGCAAGGCUGGAGUUUGGCAGAGGAGACUGGAAUUCCUGGUGUAGCGGUGAAAUGCGCAGAUAUCAGGAAGAACACCCGUGGCGAAGGCAGGUCUCUGGGCUGACACUGACGCUCAUGCACGAAAGCGUGGGGAGCAAACAGG
rnacentral:rRNA from 1 species